rnacentral:rRNA from 1 species
UACGAAGGGGGCUAGCGUUGCUCGGAAUCACUGGGCGUAAAGGGUGCGUAGGCGGCCUGGCAAGUCGAUGGUGAAAGCCCGAGGCUCAACUUCGGGUCGGCCACUGAUACUGCUGGGCUUGAGUCGACUAGAGGCAGAUGGAAUUCCGGGUGUAGCGGUGGAAUGCGUAGAGAUCCGGAAGAACACCGGUGGCGAAGGCGGUCUGCUGGGGUCGAACUGACGCUGAGGCGCGACAGCGUGGGGAGCAAACGGG